CCUCACGCGAGCUCGAGGCCUCGCGAGGCUUCAGGUCGACCCCUGCCUCUGAGCCCGAGAUGGGCCUCCGGGCGCAGCUGCCGGCACUUAACACAGAGCAGUCGAUAAGCUGCUCGCGUGAACGGUCUCUACCCGACAAAGCAGCGGACGGGAGCCCUCGUCGUCGGGCUGCGUCUGGAAGGACCACGGUGACGGAAGCGUGGAGAGCUCCGGAGCUCUGCCUUCUGGCGUCUGCCCCAAGUAUCGGUACUGAAUGUCAUACAUGGCGUGCAAGUGAUGGCAUAGUAAUGAUCUUGCGCUUAGUUUUCCUUUCUGUUGAUGGUGGGAGAAACAGAACAGAGGAAUUUAGCCUGCUAGACGUGACGCUGGACACUGAACAGAAAAUAGCAUGCAGAGCAGUUUGGGUGAAUCAAGGAGAGGAUCUGAUUCUGAGUCAAGUCAGCAUUGUGUUAAAGGGAGUGAAAAGGUAAGCAUAAAACCUCAGUGUUCUGCUGAAGAGGUCCUCCCACUCAUAGUAACCUCUUUGUAAUAGGACUAGGGAAGAGGU
rnacentral:lncRNA from 1 species